UCCAGAUGCUCUUCAGCUCUGUGGCUUACCUGGAGCGGAGCUAUUAUAAUGUGCCCAGAUCUAGGCCUUUGUGUUGGCACACCCAAAAUCUACAUCAUCUGUGAAAGGGUCUGCCCUGCUGAUCAAAGCUGCAAGAUCUCUAUGACAUGAGGCAACAACAGGAUAACCAGGAGGAUUACCUAUAAGGAUCCAGUAUUGAUGGUACCACAGAAAACAGAAAGCUCAAUCCAGAUCAAAGACUCACUUCAAUGAACGUUUGCAAGUGAAGAUAUAUGGACAGGGUAAUAUACUGUGGGUCACACUAUGACACACUGCAGCUUCCAUGAUGAGAUACUUUCUACGCUUUGUUUUAUUUUUGUUUGUGUUUGUGUAUGUUUGUUGUUGUUUGCUUUUGUUUUUGCAGGGAAGGUUGCAAGGGUGGAGGAUGGAUGUGUGGGUCUGAGGUGCAUGAUGUGAGAUGCACUAAAAAUCAAUAAAAACUUGG
rnacentral:lncRNA from 1 species